AGAGGCUUGAAAGGUGCUUGCACUCUGGGGCUUGUCCGCUCCUCUUGCUCUUUGGAACCCAGAGUCGACCAUGUGAAGAAGCCUGGGCUAGCCUAUGGGAAGAUGAGACACCACGUGGAGCAGAGAUGGGCCAUCCUAGCUGAGGCAUGUUAGAACAACUAGCCUGACAACAGCCAGACACAUGAGACCACCCGAGACCAUCCUAGACCAUCCAGUUUCAACAGAACCUUAGCUGAUUGCAGAGAUCAGAUUAGCCCUGAGCUAACUGCUGCCAAUCCUCCUCUUUUUGCUGAGGAAGACUGGCCCUGAGCUAACAUCUGUGCCCAUCUUCCUCUACUUUAUAUGUGGGAUGCCUACCACAGCAUGGCUUGCCAAGCAGUGCCAUGUCCACACCCAGGAUCCAAACCAGCAAACCCCGGGCCGCCGAAACAGAACGUGCUUAAUGAAGCAGAACUUAACCGCUUCACCACCGGGCCGGCCCUGAACUCAUUUAUUAAUUUGAGUAGUGUUUUAGUAGAUUCUUUAGGACUUUUUGUAUACAAGAUCAUGUCAUCUAUGAAUAAAGAUAGUU
rnacentral:lncRNA from 1 species